AUUGAACGCUGGCGGAAUGCUUUACACAUGCAAGUCGAACGGUAGAGGGGGCAACCCCUUGAGAGUGGCGAACGGGUGAGUAAUAUAUCGGAACGUGCCCUAGAGUGGGGAUAACGCAGCGAAAGUUGCGCUAAUACCGCAUACGAUCUACGGAUGAAAGUGGGGGAUCGCAAGACCUCGCGCGAUUGGAGCGGCCGAUAUCAGAUUAGGUAGUUGGUGAGGUAAAGGCUCACCAAGCCGACGAUCUGUAGCUGGUCUGAGAGGACGACCAGCCACACUGGGACUGAGACACGGCCCAGACUCCUACGGGAGGCAGCAGUGGGGAAUUUUGGACAAUGGACGCAAGUCUGAUCCAGCCAUUCCGCGUGCAGGAUGAAGGCCCUCGGGUUGUAAACUGCUUUUGUACGGAACGAAAGGUUUGUCUUAAUACGAUGAGCUCAUGACGGUACCGUAAGAAUAAGCACCGGCUAACUACGUGCCAGCAGCCGCGGU
rnacentral:rRNA from 1 species